rnacentral:rRNA from 1 species
UGAACGCUGGCGGCAUGCCUUACACAUGCAAGUCGAACGGUAACAGGUCUUCGGAUGCUGACGAGUGGCGAACGGGUGAGUAAUACAUCGGAACGUGCCCGAGAGUGGGGGAUAACGAAGCGAAAGCUUUGCUAAUACCGCAUACGAUCUCAGGAUGAAAGCAGGGGACCGCAAGGCCUUGCGCUCACGGAGCGGCCGAUGGCAGAUUAGGUAGUUGGUGGGAUAAAAGCUUACCAAGCCGACGAUCUGUAGCUGGUCUGAGAGGACGACCAGCCACACUGGGACUGGGACACGGCCCAGACUCCUACGGGAGGCAGCAGUGGGGAAUUUUGGACAAUGGGCGCAAGCCUGAUCCAGCCAUGCCGCGUGCAGGAUGAAGGCCUUCGGGUUGUAAACUGCUUUUGUACGGAACGAAAAGACUCUGGUUAAUACCUGGGGUCCAUGACGGUACCGUAAGAAUAAGCACCGGCUAACUACGUGCCAGCAGCCGCGGUAAUACGUAGGGUGCGAGCGUUAAUCGGAAUUACUGGGCGUAAAGCGUGCGCAGGCGGUUAUGUAAGACAGAUGUGAAAUCCCCGGGCUCAACCUGGGAACUGCAUUUGUGACUGCAUAGCUAGAGUACGGCAGAGGGGGAUGGAAUUCCGCGUGUAGCAGUGAAAUGCGUAGAUAUGCGGAGGAACACCGAUGGCGAAGGCAAUCCCCUGGGCCUGUACUGACGCUCAUGCACGAAAGCGUGGGGAGCAAACAGGAUUAGAUACCCCUGGUAGUCCACGCCCUAAACGAUGUCAACUGGUUGUUGGGUCCAUUCCACGGAUUCCGUGCCGUAGCUAACGCAUUAAGUUCCCCGCCUGGGGAGUACGGCCGCAAGGCUAAAACUCAAAGGAAUUGAGGGGGGCCCGCACAAGCGGCGGAGCAUGCGGAUUAAUUCGAUGCAACGCGAAGAACCUUACCAAGGCUUGACAUACACGGAAACGGCUAGAGAUAGUCGCGUGCUCGAAAGAGAGCUGGUGUACAGGUGGUGCAUGGUUGUCGUCAGCUCGUGUCGUGAGAUGUUGGGUUAAGUCCCGCAACGAGCGCAACCCUCGUUCUAUGUUGCCAGCACGUGAUGGUGGGAACUCAUGGAAGACUGCCGGGGUCAACUCGGAGGAAGGUGGGGAUGACGUCAAAUCAUCAUGCCCUUUAUGUCUUGGGCUUCACGCAUGCUACAAUGGCCGGUACAGAGGGUGGCGAUACCGUGAGGUGGAGCGAAUCCCAGAAAGCCGGUCUCAGUUCGGAUCGUAGUCUGCAACUCGACUACGUGAAGUCGGAGUCGCUAGUAAUCGCAGAUCAGCAACGCUGCGGUGAAUACGUUCCCGGGCUUUGUACACACCGCCGUCAC